UAGCGUAUAUUAAAGUUGUUGCAGUUAAAACGCUCGUAGUCGGAUUUCGGGGCGGGCCGACCGGUCUGCCGAUGGGUAUGCACUGGCCGGCGCGUCCUUCCACCCGGAGACCGCGCCUACUCUUAACUGAGCGGGCGCGGGAGACGGGUCUUUUACUUUGAAAAAAUCAGAGUGUUUCAAGCAGGCAGUCGCUCUUGCAUGGAUUAGCAUGGGAUAAUGAAAUAGGACUCUGGUGCUAUUUUGUUGGUUUCGAACACCGGAGUAAUGAUUAACAGGGACAGUCAGGGGCACUCGUAUUCCGCCGAGAGAGGUGAAAUUCUCAGACCAGCGGAAGACGAACCACUGCGAAAGCAUUUG
rnacentral:rRNA from 2 species